rnacentral:rRNA from 1 species
UACGGAGGGUGCAAGCGUUAUCCGGAUUUACUGGGUUUAAAGGGUGCGUAGGUGGAUAAUUAAGUCAGUGGUGAAAUCUUCAGGCUUAACCUGGAAACUGCCAUUGAUACUAUUUGUCUUGAAUACUUUGGAGGUAAGCGGAAUAUGUCAUGUAGCGGUGAAAUGCUUAGAUAUGACAUAGAAUACCAAUUGCGAAGGCAGCUUACUACACAGUAAUUGACACUGAGGCACGAAAGCGUGGGGAUCAAACAGG